GCUAUAUAGAACAUGAGCUACUUCUUUUCACCUACCAAUUUCAAAAUGAUAUCCAACAAGUCGUAUCUUUUUCUUUCCUCUUUGUAAUUACUGUCAAUGUGAUGUAUUAAAAAGAUUCCUUUCAAGCUAUAUAGAACAUGAGCUACUUCUUUUCACCUACCAAUUUCAAAAUGAGAUCCAACAAGUCAUAUCUUUUUCUUUUCUCUUUGUAAUUACUGUCGAUGUGAUGUAUUAAAAAGAUCAUUCAUCAAUGUUUUUAUAUGAGAAAGGACAAGUGGAGAUUUACCUUAAGGAAUUACUAAUAUUACUUUAUUUUAAACCAGUCAAUAAUCUUGAACCAUGA
rnacentral:lncRNA from 1 species